CAUGAUUGAUUUCCAUGAAGAUUCUAAAACUGUUGAUUUAUUUGUCAUGACAAACGAGAACUUGGCAAUUGAGGCCUCAGUUACGCCUUGUAGUAGGUCCAGUGGCAAUGCAAUAAUUGAACCUGUCACCCCUCUCAAUGUUGCUCCUGUUGCUUCUAUUGCUGGGGAUACCGAGCUUUGCAAUUCUUUGAGUGUUGAAGUUGAGGAUGCUGGGCAUCACAAACUUCUUAUAUCAUGGGCAAAUUGCAUAACUGGUUUGCACCAGCAGUUUGAUAAUGUUCAGGAAGUGCGUGAAGCUUUGCGUAGGUUUUCCAUUGCUCAUGGAUUCAAAUGCAAUUUUAAGCACAAUGAUGCUACUCGUGUAAGUGCCAAGUGUAAGGCUGAGGGUUGCCCCUGGAGGAUUCAUGUAUCAAAGUUGUCUACCACACCGUUUUUCCGAAUUAAGACAUUCAAUGAAACACAUACAUGUGGAGCUGGUACUGGUAGGAUUAGUCGUCCUCAAGCCUCAAGGAAAUUGGUUGCCACUAUUGUCAAGGAAAAGUUGCGUGAUACACCAAAUUCCAGACCUAAGGAAAUUGCCAAUCAAAUUCGUCAGGAAUUUGGAAUUGAAUUGAGAUAUUCACAGGCAUGGCGAGGGAUGGAGAUUGCGAAGGAAGAGCUUCAGGGUUCAUACAAAGAGGCAUACAAUCAGCUGCCUUGGUUAUGUGAGAAGAUGGUAGAGACAAAUCCUGGCAGUAUUGUCACUCUUAUCACAAGAGAGGACCAAAGUUUCCAUCGUUUGUUUGUUGCCUUCCAUGCCUCAAUAUGUGGUUUUCAGAAUGGUUGUCGCCCUCUAAUUUUCCUUGAUACUAUGACACUGAAAUCAAAAUAUCAGUCAGAACUGCUGACUGCAACAGCAUUGGAUGGAAAUGAUGGCAUUUUCCCUGUGGCUUUUGCUAUAGUAGAUAUUGUAAAUGAUGAUAAUUGGCAUUGGUUUUUGGUACAAUUGAAAUCUGUGCUUUCAACUUACCAACCAAUAACUUUUGUGGGAGGCAGACAGAUGGGUUUAAGACAGUCCGUUUUGAUGGCAUUUGAGGAUUCUCAUCAUAGUUUUUGCCUUCGUCAUCUAUCAGAGGAGUUAAAGGAGGACCUUAAGGGCCCAUACACUGAAGAAGUUGUAAGUGCCAUUGUUGCUCAUCUUUAUGAUGCUGCCCAUGCAGCUACACCUGAUGGAUUUAGAAAGUACGUUGAGAGCAUUAAAAGCAUCUCACCUGAAGCUUUUGAAUGGAUUUUGCAAAGUGAACCUGAGCACUGGGCAAACUCGCUUUUUGAAGGUUCACGGUACAAUCAUUUCACAUCAAACAUUGGUCAAUCAUUUUAUAGUUGGGUAAAUGAUCUCCCAAUGUUACCAGUAGUACAGAUUAUUGAUACUAUUCGCCAAAAGAUGAUGGAGCUGAUUUACACUCGAAAGGUGGGUUCAGAUCGGUGGUUGACAAAAUUGACUCCAUCCCUGGAAGAAAAAUUGCAAAAAGAGAUUCUCAAGGCACAGUCACUUCAAGUUUCAUUAUCUCCUAGGAAUACUUUUGAAGUUCAUGAUUGUCUAGGGGAAACCAACAUUGUUAACAUUGAUGCUUGGAGCUGUAGUUGCAGGGCAUGGCAACUUAAUGGUUUCCCAUGUUUUCAUGCUGUGGUCGUCCUUCAACAUUUUGAUAGGAACUUGUAUGAUUACUGCUCCAGGUAUUAUACAACUGAAUUUUUUCAGUUAACCUAUUCAGAGCCUAUAAAUCCGGUUCCAACAACAGAUAAGCCUGUGCAUAAAGAAUCCUCCCCACCCCAAGUACUUCCCCCUCCUCUUCGUCUUCUAACUGGCCCACCGAAGCAGAGGAGAAUUCGAGCAAAAGGGGUGAUUAAAAGACCAUUGCAUUGCAGCAAGUGCAAAGGAGCAGGCCAUAAUAGAGCAACAUGCCAUGUGUACUCAUAGAUUCAUAAUAUUUGUGGAACUGUAAUUAACUGUACAGGAACUUGGGUAGAUCAGUGUUUGGUAGAGGUUUUGGCGGUUAGAGAUGGGAUAGAUGGAAAGCGAAGUUGAAUGCUGGAAGUUGCACUCAUUUUGCAACAAUGACUGUUUAGUAUUAGGAGGCAUGAUCUGCUCGUGUUUUUAGGUUUUGAUGCAUCAUCUUUUGAGAGGGUGUCAACAACUGUUACUCUCUGUUCAUUUAGUUUCAACAUUCCUUUACUCUCCAAAAUUUUCAUUUGUUGAUCAUAUAUUAACUAUGCUCCCUCUUCUGACUUUGAAUGAGCUAAAAAUAAAAUCCCGUUGUUAAAGCAGGU
rnacentral:misc_RNA from 1 species